rnacentral:lncRNA from 13 species
CUGAUACGUUGUGUGACGCCCUCCCCUUGGCUGUAGGCUGAACCUGUGACUUGCUUCUAGUCAAGAGACUAUGACCAAGAGGAAAAGUCUUUUUCUGGCUGUAAUUAAGAUUCCAAAUCAGCUGAUUUAGAGUUAAUCAAAAAGCAAAGAAUGAUGGUGGAUGAGCCUGACUUAAUCAGGUGGGAGCCCUUAAAGAAGAAACUUGUCCCUCCCUGAAGUGAGAUGAAGUCAGCAGCCAUGGCAGAGAAGUCCACAGGACAAGGAACUGUGCCUCUAGGGCCUGUGAGCAGCUUCCAGCCAGAAAAAUGUUGGACUCUUCAAUCAUACAACUGAUAGCUGCAGAAAGUGAAUUCCAUCAGCAACCUUAGAUUGAGCUUAGAAGUGACUUCUUCCCCCUGAUGCCUCCAGAUAAGAAUGCAGCCUGGCCAGCCCCUUGGAUUUCAGUCUGGUGAGACCCUGGGCAGACUCUGCUAAGCUGUUCCUGGACUCCUGAGCCAUGGAAACUAUGAGAUAAUAAAUGCACAUUGUUUUAAGCUGCUGAGUAUGUGGUAAUUGGUUAUACAACAGUACCAAACUAAUACAGCAGCUUAUUCAAAUUUCCAAAAACUCUUUGUAGGCCCAACAAAGCUGAAAAAGACAUGUAAUCCACAGGCAGCCAUUGUGUGAUCUGUGAUUACAAAGUAUCCCUAAAAUGUUACCAAUUGCAUAAGGUAUUAGUCAUUCAGAGAAAAAAGGCACAGUAGUGAGAGAGAGAGAUAUUUCACAAUUCAACACAUUUUGAUAAUUGAAGGACCCUGGACUGUGGAAAGAUGGACCUCAGGGACAAACGGCUAUUGGAACCUAAUUGCUACCUGCAUGAAAGCAGGAGCUGGCAUUUUCCCAUCUGAUCCGGUGCCUUUUAGAAGAACUGCCUCGGCCAGGUGUGGUGGCUCAUGCCUGUAAUCCCAGCACUUUGGGUGCCUCUAAUCUUUGCAUUUUUCGUAGAGAUGGGGUUUCACAUGUUGGCCAGGCUGGUCUCAAACUCCUGACCUCACGUGAUCUGCUCAACUCAGCCUCCCAAAGUGCUGGGAUUAUAGGCAUGAGCCAUUGCUCCCACUCUGGUUCUGUUUUCUUAUAAACAGACAAAGAUAUUGCCUUUGAGCCCAAAUGAUACGAAAACUAGGCUUAUUCCUUACCUUGUCAACUUAAGAGUAUUUACAUAUGCUUUCAAUUUUGUUGCCAAUUAUCCAAUUAGAAUUUUUCUAGUUCAAAGAUCACAACAGGAUAGGGAGAGAAGAGGUGAUGUUUGGGCAAGUAAUAGGUUCUUGAUAAGAGGCCAUGUUCCCUAAACUUUCACACUGUCAGCACUGAUUACAUUAUGACAUCUGGAAAACUAGUACCAAACUUCUACAGUGUGACUUGGAACUAGCCA